rnacentral:rRNA from 1 species
CGGUCCAGACUCCUACGGGAGGCAGCAGUGGGGAAUAUUGCACAAUGGGCGCAAGCCUGAUGCAGCCAUGCCGCGUGUGUGAAGAAGGCCUUCGGGUUGUAAAGCACUUUCAGCGGGGAGGAAGGCGAUAAGGUUAAUAACCUUGUCGAUUGACGUUACCCGCAGAAGAAGCACCGGCUAACUCCGUGCCAGCAGCCGCGGUAAUACGGAGGGUGCAAGCGUUAAUCGGAAUUACUGGGCGUAAAGCGCACGCAGGCGGUCUGUCAAGUCGGA